UACGUAGGGGGCAAGCGUUGUCCGGAUUUAUUGGGCGUAAAGAGCGUGUAGGCGGCCUUACAGGUCAGCUGUGAAAACUCGAGGCUCAACCUCGAGACGUCGGUUGAAACCGUAUGGCUAGAGUCCGGAAGAGGAGAGUGGAAUUCCCGGUGUAGCGGUGAAAUGCGCAGAUAUCGGGAAGAACACCCGUGGCGAAGGCGGCUCUCUGGGACGGUACUGACGCUGAGACGCGAAAGCCAGGGGAGCAAACGGG
rnacentral:rRNA from 1 species